rnacentral:rRNA from 1 species
GACGAACGCUGGCGGCGUGCUUAACACAUGCAAGUCGAACGGAAAGGCCCUGCUUUUGUGGGGUGCUCGAGUGGCGAACGGGUGAGUAACACGUGAGUAACCUGCCCUUGACUUUGGGAUAACUUCAGGAAACUGGGGCUAAUACCGGAUAGGAGCUCCUGCUGCAUGGUGGGGGUUGGAAAGUUGCGGCGGUGGGGGAUGGACUGGCGGGUUAUCAGCUUGUUGGUGGGGUAGUGGCUGACCAAGGCUUUGACGGGUAGCCGGCCUGAGAGGGUGACCGGCCACAUGAGGACUACGGUACGGACCAGACUCCAACGGGAGGCAGCAGGGGGGAGUAUUGCACAAUGAGCGGGAGCCUGAUGCGACGACGCCGCGUGCGGGAUGACGGCCUUCGGGUUGUGAACCGCUUUCGCCUGUGACGAAGCGUGAGUGACGGUAAUGGAUAAAGAAGCACCGGCUAACUACGUG